rnacentral:hammerhead_ribozyme from 1 species
ACCCAGCUGACGAGUCUCAAAUAGGACGAAACGCGUGUCCUGGAU